rnacentral:rRNA from 1 species
AUACGGAGGAUGCGAGCGUUAUCCGGAUUUAUUGGGUUUAAAGGGUGCGUAGGCUGUGCGUUAAGUCAGGGGUGAAAUGCCGUCGCUCAACGACGGAGCUGCCCUUGAUACUGGCGUGCUGGAGUACGGAUGCCGUUGGAGGAAUGAGUGGUGUAGCGGUGAAAUGCUUAGAUAUCACUCAGAACACCGAUUGCGAAGGCAUCUGACGAAUCCGUCACUGACGCUGAGGCACGAAAGCGUGGGGAUAGAACAGGAGUAGAUACCCUGGUAGUCCACACUGUAAACGAUGAUGACUCGCUGUCGGCGAUAUACAGUCGGUGGCCAAGCGAAAGCGAUAAGUCAUCCACCUGGGGAGUACGACCGCAAGGUUGAAACUCAAAGGAAUUGACGGGG